UAAAUCAUAGUUUCAAAAUUGAAAUUAAGAUUAUUAUCGUAUCUCUUUUAAUUUCUGCUCUGGAGAUAAAAAAGAAGUUAUUACUUGUUCGUGAUCGAUUUUGAGGUAUACUCUUCUAUCGAUGUAUGAUUUGAGGUCUAUUUUAUAACCAUAAAAUUGACUUUCUAUCUGCGAUGUUCAUAUUUAGUGCUUAUGUUGCAAAUGCACGGUAGUUUUCGUAAAAUCUUCACGUACGGCAAUUGAAGUGAAAUUUUGUGAAUGUAGAUACGUAUAAUUAUAAUAUAUAUGUGUUCAUGUACUGAAUUAUCCUAGUAUACAUAUAGUUACAAGAAAAUCUGAAAGAAGAUAAAAGGAAGAAGUGAGACAAAGAACACGAGUACAUAUAUAUUGUAUGAUUGCAUAUAAAGAUGUGAGUGAUCUGAUGAGAUAAUUAAGACUGGUAUAGCAACAAAAGUAGUUUAUUGAAUAUUAUGUACGAAUCCUGAAUGAUGUAAUGACACCACGUGACUCGCAACGUGGAUGUUGAACAUUGGCAUUUCACCUUAUAUUCUUUUUUAUGAGGAUUUGUUAUACACCUUCUGUCUCUUAUUACGCUGUAAAAUAUCUCAUCUAUAGAUCAGAGAUGUGUAUGAAAAAUAACAGAUAUAUGAUAUACUUUAAAAACUUUUUUUUAAAUUGCAAAUAUCAAAAAAUAAAGACGCAAGAUAUCUCGUUCAUAGCAUACGAUAUUGCGUCGUGAAAUAUCUCGUUUAUGAAAGCUUUCGGUAUAAAUUUGUACACGAAAUAUCUCAUCCGCAAAUGUGAACAGGUUAAGUCAUUUCUGCAACUUUGUUAUAAUACAAAAAUGUUUCUAAUCACGAUAUAAGAAAGAAAUAAUGAAUUGUUUCUUGUAAUAAUAUUUUCAAUGUUUAAUAUAAGAAAGCCGUUACUUUUAUGGUGGACUGUACAGUCACACCACACAGCAUGCCAACUGCAAUGGAAAUUUCCACUGAAGCAGUCGAUUGCCACCACCUUGUAGACGCUUUGUAGCCGCGCCUAAAAACCAGAUUAUGUCCGCUAGGAGACUAAACCGAAGGCCAUCCUUAUAUUUUUAAUCGAUUAAUUUCAAUUGGCUAGAUUUGCGGUUUUCUGAGGCAUCUAGUAAUUUAGCUACAUUCUUUUCAAUAUAAAAUUUAAUUACAAAUGUCAACGACCGUUUUCCUUGGAGUAAAUUUGAAUUUCUAAUAUUAUAAGAAUUUUUUUAAUAAUAUUUUAUUUAAUUCAUAUCGACUGUUUUUCUAGAAUUACAACGUAAUAAAAAUGUUAUAUUACUUGAAUACUUAUGUUACUAUGAAUUACGUACUGUUUGCAUAGCUCUACACAUGUCUCUUUAGUUAGGAUUUAAUCCUGAAGAAUUUGAAAUCCUCUCUAUAGACUAUAUAUGCACUAUAUGCACUACAGAUUUUAAAUGUAACUAUAGUACAAAAUUUCUUUUCUAUCCAACGACAUAAAAAGCUAGCAUUGAUCUAAGAAAUAAAAUUAAAAGAACAUCAUUUAACAAACAAUUUUGGGCUAGAAAAAUAAUAUACAUCGUAAUUAAAGUAACAUUCCAUAAAAUCGUUUAUAUGUAUCCCUGUGAUUGUUUAUUCGUAUCCCUUUCUUAAUAAAACUUGUGUACAUUACAGUUAAGGUUUCCUGCGCUGUGAUUCGGAGGAGUGCCAUUAUUAGCGUGCAAUGUUUCCAUUCGUGGAAUUUUUGGCGGCAACGGGUAAAUAUAUAAAUAAAAAGUAGAAUUUUAGAUCAAUCUGAAUGUAUAUAAAGAACUGAAUAAAAUAAUACUGUUAAGCAUAUAUAUAUAUAUGGAUUAAUUAAUUGGUAUCAUUCAAUCAUAAAUUGGCUGUGAUUGCAAUCGUAGUGACAUAAACAUAGUUGCGGUGACAAGUUGAUUUUAUUCAUAGAAUAAGAGCCGUACACUUUGAUCGAAAAUAAACUCCAUCAAGCUGAAUAUGCAAGAACUACCUUAUAUUCUAUAGAGCCUCUUAUGCGAACAAAGUUCGAAAGGAAAUUGCGGCGUAACGAGGACAUGAAAUGGCCAUGGAAUGAUGACGUAAAAGGAAAAAACUUGCUUUUGACUUUUCUCUGACGUAGAAUCGUUCAUCUCGAUGAGAAAUACGCUAGGAAUUUUAAGCUGAAAAUGUCGCGACAGACGUCUCAAGAAUAGAACGUCGUAUGCGAUCUACGUUAGGAACAUCACUUACUUUUGACAGGAAAUGUACUCGGGGGUCGAGAGGCCUCGCAUGGCCUGGUCCCCUCUCAAGAUAAGAAGGCCUAAGGGGCCCGGUUGGACGUUUGCCAUAGCGUUUGCAAUACUUCCAAGUCUGUGUAUUAGAAACGUACUCUGUUCGAUCAAGCCAGGACAUGAUCAACCACAUGUAACGAAUAUCCUUCCUUCAAAAAGAUUCAUCCUUUAUAAUUUGAGGUUUCGUAUACGAUUCGAAAGUGAAAAAGCAACGAGAGAAUCGCAUAUUCCAUUAGAGGUUAUGUUUUAAUUUGAUAUGUCCGAUAACCGUACAGGAUACGAGUAAGCUUUACUUCCUUACUGGGUUAAACGUUGGAAAUAGUCUAUAGUAUUUUCAUUUAAUAGAAUUGCAACUUUAUCUCAAUUCGAGGAAGCGUUAACUUAUUUUUAAUUUUUCACGUG